ACAGGCGCGAGCCACCAUGGUGGGCCCGUCACUGGGUUUAGGGCUCACCCUAAUCCAGUGUGACUUCAUCUGAACUAAUUACAUCUGCAAAACGCUAUUUCCAAAUAAGGUCACACUGUGAGGUUCUGGGUUGACAAGAAUUUUUGGAAGACACUUAUUCAACCCACAGCACCUAUCUUAUCAGGUCAUUGUGAGGAUUAAAUGAGAUGAUGCCUGUGAAGCAUUUGGCACAAUGGCUGGCACAUAGUAAAAUUCAUUGAAUGUUAGUCAUUUUUAGGACAGUAAAUUAAUCAGCAUUAUUUUUAUUUAUUUAUGAAUGUCAGAAACCCAAUUCAGUCCUUGUGUGGCUGGAUCUGGGUGCUCAAAUGAGGCUAUGGAGGACCUUUCCUUCUUUGUCGCCCAGCUUUCUUCAUUGUCUUUAUCCUUAGGCACACUCUCCUAGAGAGGUGGCAAGAAAAUCUCUCAGCAGAUCUAGGGCUCCAUUUGACCAGCUCAUCAUGCUUGAUGGAAAAGGAUCACCUCUUUCUCAGUAGCGUCAGCCAAAGUUCCAGGGCUGAAUCUCAUGGAAACAAUCUGGAAUAUGAGCCUAUCCCAGAACCAAUCUCUGUGGCCAGGGGGAUGCACUAUCCUGAACUAGCAGAUCCCCAAUUCCAGUAAGACAGCUUAUGCCAACCAGUUUGAAGACCCCCAGAGAAGAACAGAAUCAAUAUGAGAAUACAGUUUCUUCACCUGCCUGUCUUAUGGCUCCAACCUGCACUCUUUGACCAAUCAACAAUCUCCACACUUUGGCACACUCCAAAACCCUUAAAGACACUAUCCCCAAACUCCUCAGAGAGUCGGAUUUGAGGUUUCCUCCUGUCUCCUUGUUUGGUGGCCCUACAAUUAAACCUCUUUCUCUGCUGCA